rnacentral:rRNA from 1 species
UUCCGUAGGUGAACACUUACCGAAG